rnacentral:lncRNA from 1 species
GAGAAUAAAAGUAGGCGCUGCAGCAAUUCUCAGAGACAGCGGUCUUGCUAUGUUGCCCAGGCUGGUCAUGAACUCCUGGCCUCAAACCAUCCUCCUGCCUCAGCCUCUCAAAGUGGUGGGAUUACAGGAGUGAGCCACUGUGCCCAACUCAAUCUUUCACAUAUUCAAUCUGAGGUGUCUGUGAUUCGAGUGGAGGUGCUGAGUAGGCAGUUGGACAUAUGAGUAUGAGUCCAGAAGAAAAGCUGGAACUGGGCUGGAGAUACACAUUUGGGAGUUCAGCAUGUGGAUGGCACAGGGGGAAGAAGAGACGCUAGCUAUGGAGACUGGAAAGGAAUGGCCUCGAUGAAGAAGGAAAACCAAGGAAGUCCGUGUCUUGGAUGACAAGUGACAUCUGGAAAAAUAAAGGAGCAGUGUGGUCAGGGAGCCUGAUGAAAUUCUGACUAUGGAUGACUCACUGUUUUGUGUAAAAAGGGGGAAGAGAAUUUAUUCUAAAAAUUUGUUCAUAUCUACAUAAAAUACUUCUGGAGGGAUGCUCAAGAAACUCAUGGUAUUGUUUGCCUGUGUGGACAGAGAAGGAAGGCCAAAGAACAGAGGUGAAAAGUAGAUAUUUCAACUGAA